rnacentral:rRNA from 1 species
CCUACGGGAGGCAGCAGUGAGGAAUAUUGGUCAAUGGACGGGAGCCUGAACCAGCCAAGCCGCGUGAGGGAAGAAGGUACAGCGUAUCGUAAACCUCUUUUGUCAGGGAACAAAGGCGGGGACUCGUCCCCGGAUGAGUGUACCUGAAGAAAAAGCAUCGGCUAACUCCGUGCCAGCAGCCGCGGUAAUACGGAGGAUGCGAGCGUUAUCCGGAUUUAUUGGGUUUAAAGGGUGCGCCGGCGGACGCUAAAGUCAGCGGUAAAAUUGCGAGGCUCAACCUCUUCGAGCCGGUGAAACUGGAGGUCUUGAGUGAGUGAGAAGUAGGCGGAAUGCGUGGUGUAGCGGUGAAAUGCAUAGAUAUCACGCAGAACUCCGAUUGCGAAGGCAGCAGACCGGCGCGCAACUGACGCUCAUGCACGAAAGUGUGGGUAUCGAACAGGAUUAGAUACCCGAGUAGUC